rnacentral:rRNA from 1 species
GCCACGGCCAUACCAGCCUGGGUACGCCCGAUCUCGUCUGAUCUCGGAAGCUAAGCAGGGUCGGGCCUGGUUAGUACUUGGAUGGGAGCCCGCCUGGGAAUACCAGGUGCUGUAAGCA